GCAUGAUAGCUCAUGCUGAACUUACUCCUCAGAGCAUGAUCCCAAAGGGAGGAUGAUGAGCACGAGAGACGAGUGCCCCAGGGACCAUCCAGGCCAGCCAGUCCCCAGAUGUCCAACUGAGCCCUGUCAAGCUUCAGUUUUCUCGGCUAAAAAAUGAAACUCAUUAUCCCUGUCAUGAAGUGGAAGCCCAGAACCAACAUCCCCUUCUCAAGCCCUCUCAGCUGUAACAGGCUCAAGUGUCAGCAUCACCACUCCCAGGCACUGAAGGGGAAGCUGGCAGUUUGUACGAGAAAUAAGCCACUCACCAGGGGAUUAUGGCCACGGACAUUUCUCCACUUGGACACGGGCUCCAUUAACACCUGGAAAGAAAGAAAAGAUCACAUCAGAGCUGCUGUUCCCUAGUUCUGAGCUUUGUGAGAGCACGUAAGUCUGAAAGGAGAGUCAGCACUGUCAAGAUCUGGGUGGCUGGGGGAAGACAAAACAGCUAAGCAACCUUCUCUCAGGCCACAACUCCAUCUAGAUGCCGCCUCCUGUAACUUCCAGACAGGAUCUGAGAACAACCAAGACCAGCUGAUAUCUGAAGGACAGGGUGGGCCACGCCCCCUAUAAACCAUCCCAUCAAGGCUUUUCAAGCUCCUUAGAACCCUGUGUGGAUGCCUUACCUCGAUGUCUGUCGUGUUGGAGAAGAACUCCAGGCAUGUGGUCUUCCCACUUGCAAUAUUGCCCUCCACACAGACCUGGCAAAGGACAAGGGUCCUCAUGCAGUGUCUCCCACAAAGGACCUCACAAGACUUGAAUGGUUACAGGAUACCACUUUCUAUGGACUUGCUACUAUGUAUCUGGGGACAUAUCAGACACCUGAAAGCACCUAGAAGAGGAUCAUAGCUGAAUAAUUAACAAUAAUACAUAAAUUCUCAUCCAACCCAACUCUGUAUUCCCCUCCCUUUCUAUGGUGGCCACUGCCAUACCUCACCCCCUCCUAUAAUUUCACUAAACUUUCAUAAAUCUCAAGCAUGUCAAUCAUCAGCCCCCUCCCUGCAAUGUCACUCCUUUCCAGGCCCUCUCCAUCAUCCUGAGUACACCACGGGCCUGCCCACACUUUCCAGCCUCUGCAGACCCUGGCCAUCAUACUCAUGCCACCACCAACCAAGCUACCUCUUCCCCAGCUACAGAAGCUACUGACUUCCAGCUCCCCUAAGAAACUGAGCCCAUGGACUGAUGGUGAUUAAAACAUUGUUCCUGACCCCAGUCAGCUGAAGAACCCAACAUCCCUAUAGAUAUGUUUAACUUCGGCCUCCUUUGACCUUCAGCCACACACCGCCCCAACCCCACCCCAGAACCAGGACCUCCCCAAGACAUCUGAAUGACUUUGAGUCCAUACCUAUGGACCCUCAUGGAUUCUCUCAGAUCCCCUCUCCACCCACCAUUCUCAGCACUAGACAAUUUGAAGGAAGCAAUCAGCAGAUCUUUCUCUCACAUCUGGGCUGCCCAAGCCACAGUGAAACCAACCUUCCCCACACAGGCUGACCAUUUUUCAAUACUUUUACAAUCAAUCCUCAAGCUGCAGUCCAAAUCUACCUAAAGAAUAUGAAUACAGGGGCUGGGGCUCAGGGGUAGCACACUUGUCUGGCGUGAGACAGAUACUGGGUUCCAUUCUCAGC